AAAGCUUAUUUAGAUAUAAAAAGGUGGACAACAUAAAGGAAUGUGUGAAUGAGGCAGUAGAUUCAACAGUGAAGCAGGCCCCUCCAGUCAGUGCUGCUAGCAUGUCUGCAUUUGACCCCCUGAAGAACCAGGAAGUGGUCAACAAGAAUGUAAUUUCUGCAUUUGGCCUGUCUGAGGAACCUGCCCAAGAUCUUGAACCACCUAUACGCUUCCCUGUGUUCCAAUUCCAGCUGUAGCCGCCACCGCCGCUGCAGAGGAGCGCUCUGCAACUCCAGACAGUAUUGCCUCUUCAUCCUCUGCAGCGCCCCCUUCUGCUGUGGCUCCCCAGGCUCCUCCAGCUUACUCAGGGGUCCAACAACCUCCCUCUGCUACUAUGGAUGGUCAGAUGUAUCAGCAGUAUCAGGCUCCAGGUGGAUACCCUCCAACAGCUGGUCCCCAGCAGCAGUACGGGAUGCAGUACCCUGGUAAUACUUCAAAACACCUGCUAAUGAUGCCUUCAUGAUUUAGAGCUCAGCUUUAAGCUCUGUUCCUAACAAAUGUGAUGCAGGCGUUUGCAAACAACUAUUCAAAUGAGUGUGAUGCUGGAUUUUCUCUGAAAAGUGUCAUCAAAAUUAGUUAAUAAUAUAUGCAUUCGUUAUUAAUACAUAACUAUUAAUAACAUGUAAAUAAUGUAAAAUGUGAAAUAUAUACUAAUUAUAUACUGCCG
rnacentral:lncRNA from 1 species